GGGCUCACACAAGCGGUGGAGCAUGUGGCUUAAUUCGAAGCAACGCGAAGAACCUGACCUGGGUUUGACAUGCAAGGAUUAGUUCUGUGAAAGCAGAAUGACGCGGCUUGCCGUGGAACUUGCACAGGUGCUGCAUGGCUGUCGUCAGCUCGUGUCGUGAGAUGUCGGGUUAAGUCCCCUAACGAGCGAAACCCUUGUCGCUAGUUGCUAACGGGUAAAGCUGAGCACUUUAGCGAGACUGCCGGUGUUAAACCGGAGGAAGGUGGGGAUGACGUCAAGUCCUCAUGGCCUUUAUGCCCAGGGCUGCACACGUGCUACAAUGGGAUGGUACAAAGCGACGCGAAGCCGCGAGGCGGAGCAAAUCGCAGAAAACUUCCCUCAGUUCGGAUUGCAGGCUGCAACUCGCCUGCAUGAAGCUGGAAUCGCUAGUAAUCGCGCAUCAGCUAUGGCGCGGUGAAUAUGUUCCUGAGCCUU
rnacentral:rRNA from 1 species